rnacentral:rRNA from 1 species
AAAUUGAAGAGUUUGAUCAUGGCUCAGAUUGAACGCUGGCGGCAGGCCUAACACAUGCAAGUCGAACGGUAGCACAGAGAGCUUGCUCUCGGGUGACGAGUGGCGGACGGGUGAGUAAUGUCUGGGAAACUGCCUGAUGGAGGGGGAUAACUACUGGAAACGGUAGCUAAUACCGCAUAACGUCGCAAGACCAAAGUGGGGGACCUUCGGGCCUCAUGCCAUCAGAUGUGCCCAGAUGGGAUUAGCUAGUAGGUGGGGUAA